AGUGAACGCUGGCGGUGGGCCUAACACAUGCAAGUCGAACGGCAGCACAGUGAGAGCUUGCUCUUACGGGUGGCGAGUGGCGGACGGGUGAGGAAUACAUCGGAAUCUACUUUUUCGUGGGGGAUAACGUAGGGAAACUUACGCUAAUACCGCAUACGACCUACGGGUGAAAGCAGGGGAUCUUCGGACCUUGCGCGAUUGAAUGAGCCGAUGUCGGAUUAGCUAGUUGGCGGGGUAAAGGCCCACCAAGGCGACGAUCCGUAGCUGGUCUGAGAGGAUGAUCAGCCACACUGGAACUGAGACACGGUCCAGACUCCUACGGGAGGCAGCAGUGGGGAAUAUUGGACAAUGGGCGCAAGCCUGAUCCAGCCAUACCGCGUGGGUGAAGAAGGCCUUCGGGUUGUAAAGCCCUUUUGUUGGGAAAGAAAAGCAGCAGGUUAAUACCCCGCUGUUCUGACGGUACCCAAAGAAUAAGCACCGGCUAACUUCGUG
rnacentral:rRNA from 1 species